AGAAUGAACGCUGGCGGCGUGCUUUACACAUGCAAGUCGAGCGAGGCGUGUAGCAAUACACAGUCGAGCGGCGAACGGGUGAGUAGCGCGUGGAUUAUCUGCCCUGAGGUGGGGGAUAACCCGGGGAAACUCGGGCUAAUACCGCAUAUGACCGUAAGGUCAAAGGGGGGUCGCAAGAUCUCUCGCCUUUGUGAGGAGUCUGCGUCCGAUUAGCUAGUUGGUAGGGUAAUGGCCUACCAAGGCGACGAUCGGUAGCCGGCCUGAGAGGGUGAUCGGCCACACUGGAACUGAGACACGGUCCAGACUCCUACGGGAGCAGCAGUGGGAAUUUGCGCAAUGGGCUAACGCCUGACGCGAGACGAACGCCGC
rnacentral:rRNA from 1 species